UGACAAUUUUCAAAUUAUCAUCACUUUAAAUGGUAUUCUUGGGUUUUGUAGAUUGUUUCAAAUUUGGAUAAAUAAAGAUAAUACCUGACAUUGAGUAAGAGGGAACGUAAGGUAGAUUUGCAAGUAGAAGGGCCAGUUUCUGUCUCUCGCAGCCAUGAUGAAAGACAAAUCUAAAGGCACAGUUUUGGAAGAACCUACGUAAUUUUAGUGUACAUCGGAACUACGAUCAAUGUAAACACUAAAUAAAUCCAUCCUUGACUAACGUGUCAUUUCCAACCCAGCGUGUCUUAUUUUACGUGCAGAGAACACGGAGCCAGUGAGAGAGACAGUGUGUUGCCUGUGUAACUCUGAUGUGAACUGAACUGAACUGACGUACAUAAAAAUUAACAUGCUUAUAUACAGAAAUGAAUAUCUAGAAUUAACACUAAUGAUGUAAGGAAAACAAAGGAUAGGAAGGGCUAGGCUAAGUGUGAAUAGUUUAUGAAUUGAGAUUUAGGUAGAUGUGUAGGGUUGAUGAUGGCCUAAACAAAAGAGAGGAAAUGUUGACAUAGUGAUAUGCUCGUAGCGUGUAGUGAUGAGGUAGUGAUGUGAAGAAAUUACUGUAGGUAAAAUAAACAAAGUAGAAAUGGAUGGCGAUAGGUGAGGAAAAAUUAGAAUGAAUGGAAUCACUACAUAGCUCCCCCCCUAGAAUGCAAGCGAUAGCGAAGGAUUCGAUAAAUGUUAGUAUGUGGUUAGCUGCGAAUAAUUAAGACGAUAGAAAUAUACGUAUAAAAAUUACUUAAAUGUUCGAAUGUCUAUUUGUUCGUUGACUUGCUUUCGUGUACCUUGCGAGGGUCUGCAAGCAGCGAUGAAAAUUGACUUGAAUUUGCGACGUAGUCCGAUGUUGAGCAAGGUUUUGUGAAUAGGUUUACCAGAAACCUGCGAUGAGUGAAUUGCCAAGGUUUUGUGAGUCGGGUGACCAAGAACCGGUAGAGUUGUUUUGCCAAGGUUUUAUGAGUAGGGUAACCAAGAACCUGCGAAGAGCGUGAGACACUGCCGAGCACCGGAGAGUGCCGUGGAGCUGCCGAGGAUGUGAGGCGAAUAGAGACACUUGUGUCCGAGUGCUGUGUUGUCUAGCUGAGCUCGAGUGUGUGGCAAUCCAGUUGAGUGAGUGAAUGUAGCUGACAAAUUCGGUUGAGUUGAGUUGGGUUGAAAAUAACGUCGAAGGAUGUUGUUUUUGAUCAUGUCGGUCACGUCGUGGUCACCAUUUUUAGUGUACAUCGGAACUACGAUCAAUGUAAACACUAAAUAAAUCCAUCCUUGACUAACGUGUCAUUUCCAAACCAGCGUGUCUUAUUUUACGUGCAGAGAACACGGAGCCAGUGAGAGAGACAGUGUGUUGCCUGUGUAACUCUGAUGUGAACUGAACUGAACUGACUUACAUAAAAAUUAACAUGCUUAUUUACAGAAAUGAAUAUCUAGAAUUAACACUAAUGAUGUAAGGAAAACAAAGGAUAGGAAGGGCUAGGCUAAGUGUGAAUAGUUUAUGAAUUGAGAUUUAGGUAGAUGUGUAGGGU